UACGUAGGGUGCAAGCGUUGUCCGGAAUUAUUGGGCGUAAAGAGCUCGUAGGCGGUCUGUCGCGUCGGUCGUGAAAACCUGCAGCUUAACUGUGGGCUUGCGGUCGAUACGGGCAUGACUGGAGUUCGGCAGGGGAGACUGGAAUUCCUGGUGUAGCGGUGAAAUGCGCAGAUAUCAGGAGGAACACCGGUGGCGAAGGCGGGUCUCUGGGCCGAUACUGACGCUGAGGAGCGAAAGCGUGGGGAGCGAACAGG
rnacentral:rRNA from 1 species